rnacentral:lncRNA from 1 species
ACAAUUUGAAAAAGAAUGCUCACACAGCUUUACUUUCCAGAAGGAGACAGACCUGCAACCUUUGCUGGAGAGGCCGGGUGGGACACAGCCCCAAACUCGACGGUCACACAUCACACAGCUGCUUAAUGCACUGGACCCUGAAGACUCCGGGGUCAUCACCUCUGCUCCCACAGGCAACACGGCACCACCACUCUCCCCUGCUAACGCUGAGCCCCGGGAUGUCACUGAAGACACUGCUGUGGAGAAUGUACUGCUGGACCAGCUGUGUGAGCAGCUCAGUUCAGUGCUGGCCGCUCUGAAGCUGUGUGACCCUCAGCACACUGGAUACGUCACACGGGAAGAUCUGAAGAAGCUCGUAAGCUGCUAUGGCACACCCAUCUCAGAGACACACUUCACAAAGCUCUGUGAGACCUCCAGCUCUAGACAUGGCAGUUCUUCUGACUUGGUUCAUUACCCUGGCUUUCUCAGAAACCUGGGAGUACCACUAACAGAUGAAACAUACA